CCUACGGGGUGCAGCAGUGGGGAAUAUUGCACAAUGGGGGAAACCCUGAUGCAGCGACGCCGCGUGAGUGAAGAAGUAUUUCGGUACGUAAAGCUCUAUCAGCAGGGAAGAAAAUGACGGUACCUGACUAAGAAGCCGCGGCUAACUACGUGCCAGCAGCAGCGGUAAUACGUAGGGGGCAAGCGUUAUCCCGAUUUACAGGGUGUAAAGGGAGCGUAGACGGCAGCGCAAGGCUGGGGUGAAAUCCCAUGGCUUAACCAUGGAACUGCUUUGGAAACGUGGCAGCUAGAGUGCAGGAGAGGUAAGCGGAAUUCCCAGUGUAGCGGUGAAAUGCGUAGAUAAUAGGAGGAACACCAGUGGCGAAGGCGGCUUACUGGACUGUAACUGACGUUGAGGCUCGAAAGCGUGGGGAGCAAACAGGAUUAGAUACCCCGGUAGUC
rnacentral:rRNA from 1 species